rnacentral:tRNA from 1 species
GCCUGGAUGGCGCAGUUGGUUGAGCAUCUGACUUCGGCUCAGGUCAUGAUCUCGCAGCUCGUGGGUUCAAGACCCAUGUCAGGUU